GACGAACGCUGGCGGCGUGCCUAAUACAUGCAAGUCGAACGAGUGGCGGACGGGUGAGUAAUGUCUGGGAAACUGCCUGAUGGAGGGGGAUAACUACUGGAAACGGUAGCUAAUACCGCAUACCAUCGGAUGUGCCCAGAUGGGAUUAGCUAGUAGGUGGGGUAAAGGCUCACCUAGGCGACGAUCCCUAGCUGGUCUGAGAGGAUGACCUGCCACACGAGAGUGGAAACACGUUCCAGCCUCCUACGUGGGGGAGCAGGGGGAAAUAUGACACAAUGGGCUCGAGCCUAGGGCAGCAAUGCCGCGUGUAAGAAAGAGGCCUUCGGAUUGUAAAGUAGUUUCAGGAGGGGGGCGUAACGCGCAGAAGAAGCACCGGCUAACUCCGUGGCAGCAGCCGCUGUAAUUC
rnacentral:rRNA from 1 species